GUCUCUGUAGCACAAUGGAUAGUUCGUUGCAUUUCUAAUCCAAGGGUUGUAGGUCCGAAUCCUACCUGGAAUG